rnacentral:rRNA from 1 species
UACGGAGGGUGCUAGCGUUGUUCGGAAUUACUGGGCGUAAAGCGCGUGUAGGCGGUUGCCCAAGUCGGGUGUGAAAGCCUUGAGCUCAACUCAAGAAAUGCACUCGGUACUGGGUGACUAGAGGACCGGAGAGGAUAGUGGAAUUCCCAGUGUAGUGGUGAAAUACGUAGAGAUUGGGAAGAACACCAGUGGCGAAGGCGGCUAUCUGGACGGUUUCUGACGCUAAGACGCGAAAGCGUGGGGAGCAAACAGG